rnacentral:rRNA from 1 species
UACGAAGGGGGCAAGCGUUGUUCGGAAUUACUGGGCGUAAAGGGCGCGUAGGCGGCUUAUCAAGUCAGGCGUGAAAUUCCCGGGCUCAACCUGGGGGCUGCGCUUGAUACUGAUUGGCUUGAAUGCGGGAGAGGAUAGUGGAAUUCCCAGUGUAGAGGUGAAAUUCGUAGAUAUCGUGAGGAACACCAGAGGCGAAGGCGGUUACCUGGACAGUUACUGACGCUCAGGCACGAAAGCAUGGGGAGCAAAACGG